GAAAAGAAGAAGUCUUUUGAACUAAUGAUAUGCAGCAUGCAGUCCGUGGGAGCUUCCUCCUCCUCCCUCCCUCCCAGAGCAGUCAGUAGUUUUACAAUAAUAACACAGGAACCGGCUCUGUCCCCAGAUCUGAAUAUCAUUGAAAAUCUGUGGGGUGAUUUGAAGCGGGCUGUCCAUGCUCGGCAACUAUCAAACCUAACUGAACUGGAGAUGUUUUGCAAGGAGGAAUGGUCCAAAAUAUCUUCAUCCAGAAUCCAGACACUCAUUACAGGCUAUAGGAAGCGUCUAGAGGUUGUUAUUUCUGCUAAAGUUUGCUCUACUAAAUAUUGAUGCAAUAUUUCUGUUGGGGUACCCAAAUUUAUGCAGCUGUCUAAUUUAGUUUUGAUGCUUAUUGCACAUUUUCUGUUAAUCCAAUAAACCUAAUUUCACUACUGAAA